rnacentral:rRNA from 1 species
AGAGUUUGAUCAUGGCUCAGGAUGAACGCUGGCGGCGUGCUUAAUCCAUGCAAGUCGAACGAACCGGGGCAACCUGGUUAGUGGCGGACGGGUGCGUAACACGUGGGUGACCUACCCUGAAGUGGGGAAUAACUGUCCGAAAGGGCAGCUAAUACCGCAUGUGGUCCGGCAGCGGAUGCCGGAUUAAAGGCGCAAGUCGCUUCAGGAGGGGCCCGCGGCCUAUCAGCUAGUUGGUGGUGUAAAGGGUCACCAAGGCGACGAUGGGUAGCCGGCCUGAGAGGGUGGACGGCCACACUGGAACUGAGACACGGUCCAGACUCCUACGGGAGGCAGCAGUGGGGAAUCUUCCGCAAUGGGCGCAAGCCUGACGGAGCAACGCCGCGUGAAUGAAGAAGGCCUUCGGGUUGUAAAAUUCUGUCUUCAGGGAAGAAACAAAUGACGGUACCUGAGGAGGAAGCCCCGGCUAACUACGUGCCAGCAGCCGCGGUAAAACGUAGGGGGCGAGCGUUGUCCGGAAUUACUGGGCGUAAAGGGCGUGUAGGCGGUCAUUUAAGUCAGAGGUGAAAACUACCGGCUUAACCGGUAGCCUGCCUUUGAAACUGGGUGACUUGAGGGCAGGAGAGGGGAGUGGAAUUCCCAGUGUAGCGGUGAAAUGCGUAGAUAUUGGGAGGAACACCAGUGGCGAAGGCGGCUCUCUGGCCUGUUUCUGACGCUGAGGCGCGAAAGCGUGGGUAGCGAACGGGAUUAGAUACCCCGGUAGUCCACGCCGUAAACGAUGGGCGCUAGGUGUAGGAGGUAUCGACCCCUUCUGUGCCGUAGUUAACACAAUAAGCACCCCGCCUGGGGAGUACGGCCGCAAGGUUAAAACUCAAAUGAAUUGACGG